AUGGAUCUCAUUCCCAUGGCAGAGAGCUUCCCGGCGAGGAUGUGCGAGAUUGAGGAGGAGGCGGAGUGCUUCAGGAAGAACCUCCGGACCAGGACGAGCAACAGCAAGCAGCAGGCGCUCAAGCCCAUGCCCCAGCCAAGCAAGGACCACAUCUCCGUCCUUCUCUCGACCACCGACGUGUACGAGGCUGUUGAGCACGUAGCCACUAAGAUGGCGAGUGGCCUCGUCGUUUCGGACAAUGGUGGUGGUGGCGGCGGCGACAGCAGCGGCAGUGACAAUUUCGGGUCGCAGCUCGACUACACUUUCAUCAUGUCUCAGCACAUUAAGGACAUGGUCAACGGUGGCGGCGACAUCUGUGAGCUUGCUGCACAAGUGGCCAUUCAGGUGACGAACGGCCUCCAGAUUGUUCCCGUCACCUCUCCGGCGGCGCAGGUCGGGGCCAACAACAACGCCCACGACGACUUCAGUAUCAACAUAGACCAAUUCAACGAGGAGCCGCCUACCACGGUACUAUCCUCAGCACAGCUCUCACAAGCGCUGAUGACGGUAGCCUUGCUCACUAUGGCCAUCGACGUUGGCACUGUGCUCUACAAGCCGGUGAGAGGCGUGGUGUUCGGCCACAACAAGCUUGCCUAUUACCUCACCCUCGCUGGUAUUUUCAUUGCCGGAGUAGCGGAGGCCCUGAUCUCCUCCUGGCUGUCCCGCUCUCACGAGGUUGACAAGCGUUGUUUCUCAUUCGGAAGGGCUGUCCUGUGCGCCUCGCUCGUGCCAUUUGUCGCCAUCAUCGGCAUCGGAGGUUUCGCUUUCGUGGAAGGCUGA
rnacentral:rRNA from 1 species